rnacentral:rRNA from 1 species
UACGGAGGGAGCAAGCGUUACUCGGAAUUAUUGGGCGUAAAGGGCGCGUAGGCGAUCUGACAAGUCUGGUGUGAAAGCCCACAUGUUAACUGUGGAAGUGCAUUAGAAACUGUUGGAUUUGAGUUCAGGAGAGGAAGGCAGAAUUCCCGGUGUAGCGGUGAAAUGCGUAGAGAUCGGGAGGAACACCGGUGGCGAAGGCGGCAUUCUGGACCGAAACUGACGCUGAGGCGCGAAAGCCAGGGGAGCAAACGGG